rnacentral:sRNA from 1 species
CAUGUGGUGCAUUUUUGACAAUAUCCCACGCCACCAAAUUAUCAGUGAUAUUGCUGCAUGGACGGAGACUGAAUGUUCUUCGCACUGGAAAUCUCGCUCUUCGUCGUCGAAUCUGCAACAAGGUUCUCUUGCAACUUCGCCUUGAUGAAUUUGCCAUUUUGGUACGCCACUUUACCGUACACACGGUCUUCCCUCGUGCGGCCCUUGAAUAUCGCCCCGGCCAAACUAUCCAGUCCAAGUGGGGAGAAUAUCCCGCGUAGCCAGAGCUUGAAGCCGCGACCUGGCUUGCCAAGCUCUGGCAGCAGAUCCUCAUGCAAGGCGUCGAUCAGCAUGAGACCUGUGACGUCAGCGGCAUGUCGACUGGCGAAAAUGCGGCUGUAUAUCCCACCCACGCCAGCGGAUACGACGACCCAUGGCCCUUUGAUGUCUGCGAGCGCGAGGGUUUCAGAUAGGACGUCGGCGGACAUGCCCGCAGAGUGUGGAGAUGGGGCAUUGUCAGACCACCCAAUACCAGGUCUGUCCCAG